UGUCACUUUCUCCGCGGACAGGCGUCGCUUCCAGCUCUGACAGGAGCUGCGGCUCGGAAGGUGAGAGGUCCCGGCGCUGGAAGAGCUGCUGUGGCUUCUGACCUGUGGGCCCUUCCUCACUUUCCCCGUGAAUUCUCCGCCGUGUCUGUCUCCCAGUGUCCGGGGUCCCACCGAGUAUACAGUAGGAUGUCCACAGCUGCUUCCUUCUCCCCAGGUCUAACCCCCAAAGCCCAGAGAUUUCUGGAUCCAAUCUUCCUUCCCGGCACCCCCAAUCUCAGCCCGUGUUCACCUCCCCCGCCCCAGUUUUGGCUUCUCUGGCCCCUCUGCUUCUUCCACCUCCUUCCUUCUCCUCUCCCUGCCUCCUGCUGGACCCCCUCCGCAACCUCUGUGGCCCCUUGGAGCCUGCCUCCUAGGCCCCUUCAGGUCUUGCGAUAUCACAACCCAGUGUGAGGAUCAGUUGGAACGAGAGGAAGCUCCUUGGACUCCAGAGGGAGAAGGUUCCCCCAGGGCAGCUGGGGGUGGUGGUGAUUGCGUUACUAGCCCUGAAAGCAAGGAGCCAUUUCCCAAGCAGGACACUUCUAUGGAACAGUCACCCCUGGAGACCCACUCAUGGAGUGAUUUGUCUCUAACCUAAGAGAAGCCUGGGAAUAUGUGGUGUUGACUUAGAGAAGCUGCAUAUCAAGGAAGACAAAUGUUCUCGGAAGUUCAAGGUCGGCCAGAGAAAUACUUCUGAUCAAGUGGAUGGGACUCACGCUAGCACAAAGUUAUAUGAAUGCAAUGAUUGUGGGAAAGCUUUCACUCAGAGUUCAUCCCUUACUUUCCAUCUUUGGAUUCAUUCUGAAGAGAAACCAUUUGGAUGUGGUGACUCUGGGAAGGCAUUUUGCCUGAACAAACAGCUUGUUAGACAGCAGAAAAUUCAUACUGGAGAGAAGCAGCCUUAUGAAUGGGAAGACCUUUCUCCAGACUACAGAACUUAAUCAACAUGGGAGUAUUCAUGCUAGAGAAAAACUAUAUAAGUGUAAUGAAUAUGGGAAGAUCUUCACCGAAGUUCAUCUUUUCUUUCCCAUCAGGCAAGUCAGAAAGAGAGAGAGAGAGAGAGAGAGAGAGAGAAACUUUGAGUGUCAUGUGGAAAGGGUUUCUGCUUGAGAAAACAGUUUACUGGACACCAGACAAUUCAUUCUGGAGAGAAACGUAGAAAGGCCUUCACCUGCAACUCUUCCCUUUUUCCCAUCAUAGGAUCCAUACUGGAGAGAGACCUUCUGAAUGUAAUGAAUAUGGCAGAGCCUUUAGCUGGAGAAUUAAUGUAUCAUCCAGAAUUCACCCCAGAGAGAGACCUUAUGUAUGCCUUGAAUGGGGACAGGCUUUGGCCUGAGGGUGAGCUUACUCCAGCCUGGAGCAUUCACCUUGGACAGAAACCAUCUGAGUGUGGGAAGGCCCAACUCCUCCCUUAUUUCCCAGCUCAGGGUUCACACUAGACAGGAGCUGUUUGAAUGUUGGGGAGACUCUUUUCUCCAGAGUAUACAACUCCCUUGACAUCAGGUGACUCAUGUUUAAGGGAGAGCCUGCUGACUGUCAUGCAAGGAUGUUGGCCACUGCAGGGAAGGCAGAGACUCAGAGCAAGGGCCUUCUUCCUACUCUGCUGCAUGCGACUUCACUCAGCUGCCUCCGAUCCCUCUUGGGCUCCUUGGCUCCUAGGAGGCAGACCAUUUCCUCCACUCCUGCCUUCCCUGCUUGGACUUCCUCCUGGUGCUGCCCUCUUCUCUCUCCUUCCUGUUUCCUAUCAUGAUUGGAUCAGCCAAAGAUUGGAGGAGGGGGUGGGGCCGUGUGAUGUCAUUUCUGCUCCUUGCUGCUUCCGCCAAGGCUUUUGAAGGCUGUCAAUUCCUGGGCUCUCUCCUCCUUGAGCUAGUUUUGCUCAUAUAGUUCCUGACUUUCCCUUGGCAGAUGGAUUUCCAGAUAUUUUAUACUAUCGACAGGAUGACUGGUAAGAAGAACACACCAAUGAGGGCUCACGAAUGCUGGCUGCACUUAUCUUGUGGUGGUUUUUCAUAACUCCACCUAGGAGAAGGUGCAUGAAGUGCUACACUGAAUAGAAUACAGGGAAAGCAAAAUGCUUUUCUAGAACCCAGAUAUUUGAUUUAUUUUCCUUUUACAUCACUUUCAUUUACAAGUAUAUAUUUACCCUUCCCCAACUUAGAAUUUCCCUUAUUGUUAAACAGUUUAAAAAAUAGACAAAGCAAUUAGUGUAUUACUACCAGCACUGAAAACCUGUCAUCAGCAACAUAUUCAACAGCUGCUUGUGUUUUAGGUGAUGGGGACCAAAAAGGUAAAAACACAGCACCUUGUCCUCAAGAACCUCAUGAUCGAAUGAGGAAAACAGUGGGCUAGCAAUUAUAAACAAGGUACAUGCAGGGUAAAUUGGAGAUGAUGUUAGAAGAAAGAUCCUCGCAGUGGAGGGAACUGAGGAAGGCUUCUUGCAGGAGGUGGGAUUUGCAGUAUUCAGGGGAACAAGGAGGUGAAGGUGAGGAGGGAGAACAUUUUAGGCAAAGGUAUGGAGUUGGGCAAGGGAGGAUCAAGAUUGAGGAACAGAUAGACAGCAGUGUCCCUGGAUCAUCAGAGGGAUAUACAAUGUAGGAAGACUAGAAAGCUGAGUGAGGUUGUGAAGAGGUUUCAAAAACAAUGAGAGUCAGGUAGAUGGUGCACUGGAUAGAGCUCUGGCCCUGGGGUCAGAGGACCUGAGUUCAAAUGUGAUCCCAGAUGCUUCCUGGCUGUGGGACAACAAGUGAGUCACAACCUGAAUUAUCUCAUUCAACCAAAAGAACAAGAUAGAGAGACUUAAAGAUAUGAUCCUGGAGUUAAUGGAGCCUCAUUGAAACUUUCUGACUAGGGAGAGCAACAUCAUUAAACUUUCCUGUGAGAUAGAUGACCUUGGCUGGUGGGUGAAGGAUGAACUGGAGUUAAGGGUGCUUGAAGUAGGAAGAUGACUCAGCAGGCUAUUGGGACAACCAGGUGUGAAGUGAUAAAGGCCCAGAGAAGUUAGGAGUCAAGCCCCAUAGAACUUGGUAAUAGGUUGGCUAUUGGGGUGGUGGUGAAGGAGAGUGAGCAGUUGAGAAUGAAGUCCAAGCUGUAAGUGAGGAUGGGUGUGCUCUCAACUUCCUUAAUAGGGAAUUUAGGAGGGAGUGGUGGUGAAGAAUUUGGGAUGCUGAAUUUGAAACAGCUGGACUGGCCCAGUUGAAGAUGUUUAAUAGACAGCUGGUUCUCAAGACUAGAGGCUGGGAAAGAGAUUAAUGCUAGAUAAAUGAAUUUGAAGAUCAUCUUUAUAGAGAUGACAAAUCUUCAAAUGAGAUAGUACAGAGGAAGAAAGGAGGGCUCACGAUGGCCCCUUUAGGAAUUAGUGGGCACUCCAACAAAGGAGAGAGGGAAGAGGGAAAUCGGGAGAAAGCACCCUGAAAACCUAGAGAGAAGAGAUCUCAGAAGUGGGUAAUUCACAUGGCAAAGGCUAUGGAGAGGUCAAGAAAGAGGAGGAUUUAAAAAUUGUGCUGGACUCUGAUUUAAAUGCAUGGCAGCUAGGUGGCUGAGUGAGUGGCUCUUUUGAGUCUGGAAGUUCUGAGUUUUUGAAUCCUAUUUUAAUAGCUGUGGGACUAUAAUGCUUAGCCUCAGUUUCCUUAUCUUUAAAAUGCUAAUGACAGCACCUAUGGGGAUGUUCAAAUGAAGGAUUAGAUAAACUCUCUGCAAUCUUGAAUCAUUGUAUAUAGAAAUGCUAACUGUCAUAUUUUUGUGGGUAUUUUAGCACUGGAGGAACUUGAGGAAACUUUUUUUUUCAAGUUUGUUUUAUUUAAAGAAAGAAUAAGCAAAAAGAAAAACAGAAAAACAAAAGAACAUUGCCCAGCAGAACAUCAGGGAGGAUUCAAAAUAUAUAACAACUCUUGAAGUCCAGCUCUAAUGAAUAUCAAGAGCGUGCCUGGGUAGGAAUAAUAUCCAUGAGUCAGGCAGAAAGAUUUGCUUAGCAGUUUUCAUUUAUUAUGGCGGUUAAGCUAGUGUUGCAUUAAUGCCAGCUACCUCUAGGUGGCACUAUGUACAUUCGAGGGUUAAUGUAUAGACUGUAGUUUUGCCAUUUCAGUUUGACAUUAACUAGCAAUAACAAUGUAUCAUAACAGUCGUAAAUAGCGAUAACAGACAAUACAAUGUGUCUAUCAUAACAGUUCCAAAUAGUAGCAACAAUUACAAUGAAUCAUAACAGUUGUAAAGAGCAGUAACUGAUAACAAUGUGUUUAUCACAGCAGUCACAAAGAGCAUAGUUGUGCAUUCUUCAUCAAGAUUACCCUGAACUUAUCUCAAACAUGUCAUUCAUUCAUUGUUAAG
ensembl:lncRNA